rnacentral:misc_RNA from 1 species
GCAUAAGCUUAUAUUUCAUACCAUAACAUUUCACAAGUUAUUCUUGGACAUAACUUCGAUUUCUACACAAUUUAGGUCCAAAAGACUUAAAACUCAAUCAAAACAUGCAAUUUUAUGUUUCUGACCCAUUACAAUGCCCAGGAUAGGAAAGUUGGAAAAUUUUCAAUAUCAGAUUAGCAAAUACAGCAGUAAGACAACAAGUGAUGACAAGCAACAAUUCUUUUGGAAGAGCUUUACAAUAUAACAUGAACCACAGGCAAAUAUUUCAGAUUUUUUUACCCAAGCAACUGCUCUUAAAUACAGGCUUAUAUGUAUCUCAAAGACGCUAUUCAACGUCGAGCCCAUAUCUAGAUAAAAGCUGUGGAAGGUUAUCCAGCAACAAGGUGAAGAGGGCACCAACAAAGAACAUUAGGACAAAUACAAGCAAUAUCUUUCCAAUGUAGAUAGGGCUUAGAGCAGCAGCUUGUGAUUUUCUCUUUGCAGAAUGUGAGUUGUCCAAAACCGGAGGCAUAUAUGCAGGUCUUGCUGCUGCGUAAUCAUCAGGCAUCCUUCUUGAAAAACCUUUUGUUGUCUCGGUGACUGGCUGCAAUUUCCAUCCUUUGCCAUAACUCACAAGAAUUGAAUUGGGGCCAAAAAUCACAGGCACUUCCCCAUCUUUAACAGCUUCAACAUAAGUUGCAGGUUGGUCUGCCGGGAUAGAAUCAACGCUACUACUAUUGAUAAAUUUCAGUGCGAAUUUUGCCUCUGUUCCAGCAGCAAAUCGCCAAGUCUUGCCGGUGCAUUUGCAAAUCACUUCCACAAAAGAUUGAGAUUGCUUCGUGGAUUGAUUGACUUCUGCUUCAUCCGUCUGCUCUGCCAUUAGAGAAGCCAUCAACCCACGAAGCAAUCUCAAUCU